AAGGCUCACCAAGGCGAUGAUCGGUAGCUGGUCUGAGAGGACGAUCAGCCACACGGGAACUGAGACACGGUCCCGACUCCGUACGGGGGCAGCAGUGAGGAAUAUUCGGCAAUGGGGGCAACCCUGACCGAGCAACGCCGCGUGGAGGAUGACGGUUUUCGGAUUGUAAACUCCUUUUUCUCAGGGAAGAGCGAGGACGGUACCUGGGGAAUAAGUCACGGCUAACUACGUGCCAGCAGCCGCGGUAAUACGUAGGUGGCAAGCGUUAUCCGGAAUUACUGGGCGUAAAGCGCACGCAGGUGGCGGCUUAAGUCUGACGUGAAAGCUCCUGGCUUAACUGGGAGAGGUCGUUGGAGACUGGGCGGCUUGAGGCGAGGAGAGGGGUGUAGAAUUCCCGGUGUAGUGGUGGAAUGCGUAGAGAUCGGGAG
rnacentral:rRNA from 1 species